AUUCGGAUAGGAGAUGGGGUUCCUCCUUUUAACCGCCGCAUCGGCUGAUGACUCCUGGCAUGAC
rfam:Acidomonas methanolica NBRC 104435 DNA, contig: Amme_009.